AUACACCCAGGCAUCAGCUGUCAGCUCUGGAACCUGUGAACUGACCUAUUUGGUAAAAGGGUCUCUGCUGAUGUGAUUAAAUUAAGAGUUUUGAGAUGGGAGAUUAUCCUGGAUUUCCCAGGUGUGCCCUAAAUACCAGCACAAGUCAUAAGACAGAUGCAGAGGGAAAUCAGAACCCACAGGAGAAUAGGAGGCAACGGGUCCACAGAAGCAGAGACUGGAGGGAUGUGGCUGAAAGGUAAAGGGUGCUGGCAGCCGCCAGAAGCUGCAAGAGGCAAAUGACAGACUCUCCCUAGAGCCUCCAAGGAAACGUGGCCCAGCCAACACCCUGACUUCAGCCCAGGGAUGCUGAUUUCGGAAUUCUGGUCUCCUCAGCUCUGAGAGAAUCAAUUUCUGUUGUUUGAAAAAACUACGUUUGUGGUCAUUUCUUACAGCGGCUUCAGGAAAGGAAUCCAGCUCUAAACCAGGAAGAAGUGACUUCAUCUUCUGCUGCAGGAGAGUCCAUCCUUGUCAGGACUUGGUGUCAUCAGAGCAAAUUGUGACAGAGCAAGUGUGCACUUAUCCUUCUCGUGACCACUAUGACAUGCCAGACCUGCUUCUGCUGCAGCCCACGGUCCAACCUGCAUUCACCAUGCGGGGCCUCUGCUUCGUGCUCCUGACCUGCUUCAUCUUCUUUGCUUACUUUGCCACAGCCCAGGUCAUGGAGAUAGACUCAGAAGAGGAGUGCAAGCAGGUUGGUGCCCAGUGUAAAUGGUUUUCUUGCCCAGAUGAUCAUGCACGUCUUGGUACCUGUUGGUUUGGGAUAAAGAAAUGCUGUCGGUAGCUGGGAUGAGCUGAAGAACACAGAGGACAAGGAGCCCAGAGACUGAAAUAAAGGGCUGACUAUAACUCUGAAAGUGCUGUGGCAUUAUUUCCUGAAAAUAAAUAAUUGCCUGUGCUGUG
rnacentral:lncRNA from 1 species